rnacentral:rRNA from 1 species
UACGUAGGGGGCGAGCGUUGUCCGGAUUCAUUGGGCGUAAAGCGCGCGCAGGCGGCCCGCUCAGUCGGCCGUGAAAGCGCCGGGCUCAACUCGGCGAGGUCGGGCGAUACUGGCGGGCUGGAGGCUGGUAGAGGGCGGUGGAAUUCCGGGUGUAGUGGUGGAAUGCGUAGAGCUCCGGAGGAACACCAGUGGCGAAGGCGGCCGCCUGGGCCAGUCCUGACGCUGAGCUGCGAAAGCGUGGGGAGCGAUCCGG